GUCUGGAUAUGGUGAGCUGUUAAGUGGGGACCCAGAGAGGACAUUUCUCUCAGGGCUGCACAGGGCCACUGAGCCCAAAACACCUUGUAUGAUGCAAGCACAGCACACACGUUGUUGUCCCACAGAGAAUAAGAACACACUGCGUUUGGGCACAGAGGGUCAGCGAUGUCUUCAGAGCAGAUGCAACGUGACCAGCUACCUCAAGAUCUUGUCAUCGAGUCCCACCGUGACUGAUGGUCCCUCAAACU